CCCCCCCCCCCAGGCACAUCUUCCUGGGCUUCUCCAAGUGCGGCCGCUUCGUGCUGUCCUACACCAGCAGCAGCGGCGACGACGACUUCUCCUUCUACAUCUACCACCUCUACUGGUGGGAGUUCAACGUGCACAGCAAGCUCAAGCUGGUGCGGCAGGUCCGCCUGUUCCAGGACGAGGAGAUUUACAGCGACCUCUACCUCACCGUCUGCGAGUGGCCCAGCGACGCCUCCAAGGUCAUCGUCUUCGGCUUCAACACGCGCUCGGCCAACGGGCUGCUGGUGAACAUGAUGAUGAUGAGCGACGAGAAUCACCGCGACAUCUACAUCAGCGCCGUGGCCGUGCCCCCCCGGCGCCACUGCCCCGCCUGCCGCGCCAUGGCCCUCGCCC
rnacentral:lncRNA from 1 species